UACGAAGGGGGCUAGCGUUGCUCGGAAUCACUGGGCGUAAAGCGCACGUAGGCGGCUUUCUAAGUCAGGGGUGAAAUCCUGGAGCUCAACUCCAGAACUGCCUUUGAUACUGGGAGCUCGAGUCCGGAAGAGGUGAGUGGAACUCCGAGUGUAGAGGUGAAAUUCGUAGAUAUUCGGAAGAACACCGGUGGCGAAGGCGGCUCACUGGUCCGGUACUGACGCUGAGACGCGAAAAGCGUGGGGAGCGAACGAGG
rnacentral:rRNA from 1 species